GAGAAAUGGAAGGGAAACAUUCCCAGAUCCUCAAACUAUCGAAGCUCACUCCAGGCCUGUAUGAAUUCAAAGUGAUUGUAGAGGGUCAAAAUGCCCAUGGGGAAGGCUAUGUGAACGUGACAGUCAAGCCAGAGCCCCGUAAGAAUCGGCCCCCCAUUGCUAUCGUGUCACCUCAGUUCCAGGAGAUCUCUUUGCCAACCACUUCUACAGUCAUUGAUGGCAGUCAAAGCACUGAUGAUGAUAAAAUCGUUCAGUACCAUUGGGAAGAACUUAAGGGGCCUCUGAGAGAAGAGAAGAUUUCUGAAGAUACAGCCAUAUUAAAACUAAGUAAACUCGUCCCUGGGAACUACACUUUCAGCUUGACUGUAGUAGACUCUGAUGGAGCUACCAACUCUACUACUGCAAACCUGACAGUGAACAAAGCUGUGGAUUACCCCCCUGUGGCCAACGCAGGCCCCAACCAAGUGAUCACCCUGCCCCAAAACUCCAUCACCCUCUUUGGGAACCAGAGCACUGAUGAUCAUGGCAUCACCAGCUAUGAGUGGUCACUCAGCCCAAGCAGCAAAGGGAAAGUGGUGGAGAUGCAGGGUGUUAGAACACCAACCUUACAGCUCUCUGCGAUGCAAGAAGGAGACUACACUUACCAGCUCACAGUGACUGACACAAUAGGACAGCAGGCCACUGCUCAAGUGACUGUUAUUGUGCAACCUGAAAACAAUAAGCCUCCUCAGGCAGAUGCAGGCCCAGAUAAAGAGCUGACCCUUCCUGUGGAUAGCACAACCCUGGAUGGCAGCAAGAGCUCAGAUGAUCAGAAAAUUAUCUCAUAUCUCUGGGAAAAAACACAGGGACCUGAUGGGGUGCAGCUCGAGAAUGCUAACAGCAGUGUUGCCACUGUGACUGGGCUGCAAGUGGGGACCUAUGUGUUCACCUUGACUGUCAAAGAUGAGAGGAACCUGCAAAGCCAGAGCUCUGUGAAUGUCAUUGUCAAAGAAGAAAUAAACAAACCACCUAUAGCCAAGAUAACUGGGAAUGUGGUGAUUACCCUACCCACGAGCACAGCAGAGCUGGAUGGCUCUAAGUCCUCAGAUGACAAGGGAAUAGUCAGCUACCUCUGGACUCGAGAUGAGGGGAGCCCAGCAGCAGGGGAGGUGUUAAAUCACUCUGACCAUCACCCUAUCCUUUUUCUUUCAAACCUGGUUGAGGGAACCUACACUUUUCACCUGAAAGUGACCGAUGCAAAGGGUGAGAGUGACACAGACCGGACCACUGUGGAGGUGAAACCUGAUCCCAGGAAAAACAACCUGGUGGAGAUCAUCUUGGAUAUCAACGUCAGUCAGCUAACUGAGAGGCUGAAGGGGAUGUUCAUCCGCCAGAUUGGGGUCCUCCUGGGGGUGCUGGAUUCCGACAUCAUUGUGCAAAAGAUUCAGCCGUACACGGAGCAGAGCACCAAAAUGGUAUUUUUUGUUCAAAACGAGCCUCCCCACCAGAUCUUCAAAGGCCAUGAGGUGGCAGCGAUGCUCAAGAGUGAGCUGCGGAAGCAAAAGGCAGACUUUUUGAUAUUCAGAGCCUUGGAAGUCAACACUGUCACAUGUCAGCUGAACUGUUCCGACCAUGGCCACUGUGACUCGUUCACCAAACGCUGUAUCUGUGACCCUUUUUGGAUGGAGAAUUUCAUCAAGGUGCAGCUGAGGGAUGGAGACAGCAACUGUGAGUGGAGCGUGUUAUAUGUUAUCAUUGCUACCUUUGUCAUUGUUGUUGCCUUGGGAAUCCUGUCUUGGACUGUGAUCUGUUGUUGUAAGAGGCAAAAAGGAAAACCCAAGAGGAAAAGCAAAUACAAGAUCCUGGAUGCCACGGAUCAGGAAAGCCUGGAGCUGAAGCCAACCUCCCGGGCAGGUAGGGGCCCUGGGUGCCAGAGCUUCUAGGUCUGUGCACUCUCUCUGUGGAAGGCUGCUGUCACUAGCCCCUCCUGAGUGUGUCACUAACAGCCCACUGUGCUUGCAAAGCAUUUUGUUCCCUUUUGCCUGAUGAAGACUGAGGGUCAGAUUUGCCCUGAGCUGCACUGGACAAAAUGCCUCCAGGACCCACUUCGCGUGCUACUUCCGCUUGGCGGGGGUGCUGGGCCUGUUGUUUUCCUUUGCCUGGGCAUUCUCCUCAUGUUUCCCACCUGGAGUUCCGCUUUUCCAACUGCCCCAGGUAGUCAGGGUCAGGGACCUUGGACUUGUCUCUUACUGCUGACCAGUCUGUCCUUUAUGGGCAGAGAUGAGACCCAGGCCCGUGUCUGCCAGCUGACCACCUUUCAGCCAGCCUUGUUCUCCUGUCUUCCUAUCUUUAUCAUUUGGCAAGUCCUCAGCUUCUGUCAGUGUCUUAGGGCAGAUAGGAGGGCAUUUCCUUGCACAAACAGUAAGAUGACUUUGAGUGAUGGCACUGGGAGAUCAGGGCAGGUAGUAGGCCUUCCUUCCUCCACUGGGCUGGGUCACCUGGCGAGGGUUUCACUCAUCAUGGAUGCCAUGGGACAGGUAUCAUUGGUUUAUGAGAGCUAGACUCUAUAAAGCGAUUCCUAAACACUCUGCAAGUAGAACUAUUUUUAUAUAAAGCAUUUCUUAAACACUUUUCAUGCUUAAAGCUUUGUGUUAGGGAGAGGCUGUGGGGGUAUAGGGAGUCAUCAGACACAGGCUGUGCCCUCAGUCUAGUGAGGGAGAAAAGACACACAGUAGCAGAAGAGAACAGGCUCACAGCAGUCUGGACUCUGCACCAAGCAGCUCGAUCCACCAACACUGUCAAGGUGGAGACUGGAGGUGGUGGGGCUUGAAAUGAGCCCAGGAAAGCAGAGCAGUGAGGGUGGGCGGGGCAUUUCACCCAGGAAUAUUGAGAAUGAGGGCCUGGAGGUGAAAUGUGCAAAACCCACCCCUCACACUGCAGCCAAGGUUUUUAUCAUGUUACUCUGAUCAUGUUUUUCACCCCCUGACAUUCUUCAAUGACUUACUAUUUCUAGCACAAAAAGCUAGAACUUUUGGUCUGGUAGAUGUGGCCUUUGUGAGCUUACAUCAGUUUGCUUUUCUAGAAUCUUUCUCUUUGCUGAUCUCCCUCUUUUCUAAACAAGUUCUGCUGGUUCAUCCAGUAAUCUCUUUCUUUUUUAAAAAUGUGGCGACAAGGUCUUGCUCUGUCACCCAGGCUUGAGUGCAGUGGUAUAGUCAUAGCUCACUGCAGCCUCCAACUCCUGGGCUCAAGUGGUCCUCCUGCUUCAGCCUCCCAAAGCAGCUGGGACUACAGGCAUGCACCACCAUACCCAGCCCUAGAAAGCUCUUUCUUAUCCCUCCCUUAACCUCCUCAAGUUGUGCUCACCUUUCUCCCACAUGCCUGGGUCGGCAUUUCUCUCGCUGUCUCAUGAUUAGUUAUGUUUGCCUGUCUCCCCACCCAUCAGUGAAAUCCCUGAGGGCAGGGGCUGUCUCAUUCAUCUGUGGAUAUGGAGCGGGACCACUAUGUGCCAGGCCCUGUGCCAGACACUGCUUAUAUUGUGGUGAAUCAAACAGACUUCACUCUUGUGUAGCUUAUAUCAGACAGACAUUAAGCAAACUCACAAAUACAUAAAAUAUGCUCAUAAAAGGCCUUUAUGAAGAAAAACACUUAAGCUGAGACCUGGAUAAGUGGGAGCUAGCCAGAUAAAGCUGCAGGAAAUAGCAUUCCAGGCAAAGGAACAAAACUGGUGCAGACCCAGCUGCUAGAAGGAGCAGAGAGCAUUUGAGGAGGUAGAAGAAGGUGACAUGAUGGACAGGUUCACCUUCCCACGGAGUAAGGGGUGAGUGACCCAAGGCUCAAUGGAUGAGCAGGGUCCCUGCUGAGGACUUCUCUUGAGUACAAUGGUGAGCCACUGAUAGCUUUUUAAGGGGAUGAAUGGUGGGAUUUGGUUUACAUUUAUUAUUAUUUGAGACAGAGUCUCACUCUUAUCACCCAGGCAGGAGUGCAGUGGUGCGAUCAAGGCCCACUGCAGUCUUGACCUCCUGGGCUCAGGUGAUCCUUCCACCUCAGCUUCCUAAGUAGCUGGGACCACAGGCAUGCGCCACCAUCCCCAGGUUUUUUUGUGUUUUUUUUUUUUGUAUUUUUGGUAGAGACGGGGUUUCAUCAUGUUGCCUAGGCUGUUCUUGAACUCCUGGGCUUAAGUGAUCUGCCUGCCUUGGUCUCCUAAAGUGCUGGGAUUAUAGGUGUGAGCCAUGGCACCCGGUCUUGGUUUAUAUUUUAAAAAGACAACUGUGUAGCUGGGCGUGGUGGUGGGUGCCUGUAAUCCCAGCUACUCGAGAGGCCAAGGCAGGAGAAUUGCUAGAACCUGGGGGUGUGAAGGUUUCAGUGAACUGAGAUCACUCCAACCUGGGCAAUAAAGCCAGACUCUGUCUC
rnacentral:sRNA from 1 species